AUUGAACGCUGGCGGCAGGCCUAACACAUGCAAGUCGAGCGGAUGAAGGGAGCUUGCUCCUGGAUUCAGCGGCGGACGGGUGAGUAAUGCCUAGGAAUCUGCCUGGUAGUGGGGGAUAACGUCCGGAAACGGGCGCUAAUACCGCAUACGUCCUGAGGGAGAAAGUGGGGGAUCUUCGGACCUCACGCUAUCAGAUGAGCCUAGGUCGGAUUAGCUAGUUGGUGGGGUAAAGGCCUACCAAGGCGACGAUUCGUAACUGGUCUGAGAGGAUGAUCAGUCACACUGGAACUGGGACACGGUCCAGACUCCUGCGGGAGGCAGCAGUGGGGAAUAUUGGACAAUGGGCGAAAGCCUGAUCCAGCCAGGCCGCGUGUGUGAAGAAGGUCUUCGGAUUGUAAAGCACUUUAAGUUGGGAGGAAGGGCAGUAAGUUAAUACCUUGCUGUUUUGACGUUACCAACAGAAUAAGCACCGGCUAACUUCGUG
rnacentral:rRNA from 1 species